rnacentral:misc_RNA from 1 species
UGGUGAACCAGCGGAGGGAUCAUUGCUGGAACGCGCCCCAGGCGCACCCAGAAACCCUUUGUGAACUUAUACCUUACUGUUGCCUCGGCGCUGCUGGUCUUUAUAGGCCCUUUACUGCUACGGUGGUAAAGAGACGGCACGCCGGCGGCCAAGUUAACUCUUGUUUUUACACUGAAACUCUGAGAAAAAAACACAAAUGAAUCAAAACUUUCAACAACGGAUCUCUUGGUUCUGGCAUCGAUGAAGAACGCAGCGAAAUGCGAU